GUUGGCCUAGUGGUUAGAGCGAACGUCUAGGAUGCGUCAGGUUGUGGGUUCCAUCCCCGGUCGAGUCA